GAUGAACGCUGGCGGCGUGCCUAAUACAUGCAAGUCGAGCGAACAGACGAGGAGCUUGCUCCUCUGACGUUAGCGGCGGACGGGUGAGUAACACGUGGAUAACCUACCUAUAAGACUGGGAUAACUUCGGGAAACCGGAGCUAAUACCGGAUAAUAUAUUGAACCGCAUGGUUCAAUAGUGAAAGACGGUUUUGCUGUCACUUAUAGAUGGAUCCGCGCCGCAUUAGCUAGUUGGUAAGGUAACUGCUUACCAAGGCGACGAUGCGUAGCCGACCUGAGAGGGUGAUCGGCCACACUGGAACUGAGACACGGUCCAGACUCCUACGGGAGGCAGCAGUAGGGAAUCUUCCGCAAUGGGCGAAAGCCUGACGGAGCAACGCCGCGUGAGUGAUGAAGGUCUUCGGAUCGUAAAACUCUGUUAUUAGGGAAGAACAAAUGUGUAAGUAACUAUGCACGUCUUGACGGUACCUAAUCAGAAAGCCACGGCUAACUACGUG
rnacentral:rRNA from 1 species